UGCUUGUUGCCAUGGAUACCAACAUCCCAAAAUUGCUGUACUAGAAAGUCUGAAAUUUGGUGAGCAGCAGAUCCUUUGCUGUAAUCUGGACACUCUCUGGAGGACGGGAGCUUUAAUGCAAGAAGAGCUUGUUUGGUGUU